CAAUGGGGUCACCCCUGAUGCAGCCAUGCCGCGUGGAGGAAGACACCCCUAUGGGGCGUAAACUCCUUUUCUGAACGAAGAAAACUCUGUAGCUUCAGAGCGAGACGGUAGUUCAGGAAUAAGCACCGGCUAACUCCGUGCCAGCAGCCGCGGUAAUACGGAGGGUGCAAGCGUUGUCCGGAAUCACUGGGUGUAAAGGGUGUGCAGGCGGGGCAGCAAGUCGGAUGUGAAAGCCCGUGGCUCAACCACGGAAGCGCCUUCGAUACUGCUGCUCUUGAGUCCCGGAGAGGCUGUCGGAAUUCGUGGUGUAGCGGUGAAAUGCGUAGAUAUCACGAGGAACACCAGAGGCGAAAGCGGGCAGCUGGACGGGUACUGACGCUCAGGCACGAAAGCGUGGGGAGCAAACAGGAUUAGAUACCCUGGUAGUCCCACGCCGUAAACCGAUGAAUGCUCGCCGUUGCCUCGAUAAGGGGGCAGUGGCUAAGUUAACGCGUUAAGCAUUCCACCUGGGGAAGUACGAUCCGCAAGGUUGAAACUCAAUUGAAUUGAC
rnacentral:rRNA from 1 species